AAGUAUUUCAAUAAUUUAUUCUACUACAAUUGAAUUCUCUACACGGAUAUUUUGGUAAAACACCACAUUAUUUUGCAAGGAUUCAAUCCUGGCCGUUGAAAAAUUUGUGGCAAUUCAGCUUCAGGUUUGUUGCUCAUGCUCUUCUGUAUUCCACCGUUUCUCUCAACUAGAUUUUAUUUGCUCUUCUUUUGUAACUCCCUGGUCAUUUCUUCUUCAGUUCUUCGUAUUAAACAUCUCAACCGUUGCGUCUUUCAUUCUUCCUAUCGCAUCACCUUAAAGGUCUUCGCUCUGCAGAAGCAAGGAUUAGAAUUCUUUCGCUGUGAGAACCUUCUUCAGAACCAAGGAAGGAGAACGCUGGUGCUGGUCGUGGAUGUGGGAACGAUUUUCUUUAUGAGAAUGCGGUUGAAUCUGGAAAUCAAACGCUUUUCCCUCUUUCUCCUUGAUGCUACUGCUUUCAAGUCUCGAGAAUUUGGGAUUUUUUGCAUCUCAUUCACAUAUUCAAAGCCCUCCGGCACCGAUCUGCAUCCCAAUCCAAUUAGGUAUUAUGCUUCUUUCCCUGGAUCCCUACAUCUCAUGUCCAAGUUACCAUCUUUGCCAUUAACUGCAUUCUUUUGUUCUGGGUUUAUGUAUUUCCUUUUUAACUUUCUUGCCUGCUAAAUUACUCCUUUUUUCCCUUUGCAUUUAGUCAUGCUUGCAGGCCCUAAUCUAAAAGAAGGAGACGUGAUUUGCUUGAUGACCUUCAAUGUUAAGUAUCACCUUUAUGAUAUUUGAUAAUUUUCUUAUCCAUUUUCUCAUAUUUAGCUAAAACAAUAACCAAUUUAUCAGACAAAAAAUUGUUCUAUCAAGUAACAUCAGGGACCUAUCCUGCAAAUUCCUUUGGUAAGAAUUGGCUUUCAUCUAGGAAAGUGUCAUAGGUACUAGCUAUGUGUCAUCAAUUUUAACCGGAAUUACUUUUAGAUGCUACAUUUUUUGCCUUCUUCUGUGACCAUUUUUUUGUUGUUAAUGAAUUCAUCAGCCUUAUCCUUAACUUUUGAUUUCAGCAAAUGGGGCCUGGGUUUGUCAUAACCAAUUUUUUAUUAUGUUAUGAUGACGAUGAAGAAGAUGGAGUAAUCAGUUAUCAACCAUCAUCAUCACAACUUGAGUGAAAUUCGCUAUACGAAAAACAUGAGAAAUCAUCGCCAGAAGCUCUUAUAGAAGAUUAGAAACACAUCCAUAUGUUGGAAAAGGAGCUGCUGGAUGGUUCUCAAGUGGGAGGUUUUAGAGCUCUUUCAUUGAAUUUAGAGUCAGUGGAAUCAGUGGACCACACAAUUGCUGUGUUGAAGCAUCAUUUGAUCCGAAAAUUUGGAGUGAAGAUUGUGUCAUCUUUGUUAUGGGAGAUUUUUUUUUUUGUUUCUCUGGGUAAGUUUUCUUCACCCACUCUACUACUACAAACUUAAAGGUUGGCUGUAAAAGAGGUACCUUUUAAUAGAAUACAAUUUAUUUCCACAUCUAACUUUCUGGGGUUUAAUAAUUCAAAAUUCAAUUAAAUUUUAAUCUAUGAAAAUGACAUACCAAUCCUUUCUUUCAACCUUAAAGAAUUACAUUGUUUUAUAAUGUGAAUAGUUCCAUACUAUAUGGUUGGCUUUUCCCAAAAUUUGCUGUUGUGAUUUCACCAUGGCAGGUUAGUGAAUUUGUAUUCUUAUCCCUAGGCUAUUUCGAUUAAAUUGAAGGACUCAAGAGGGAUGCUUACUAAUAGAUAUUCUUGCAUGGAAUGUGCAUCUGUAAUUAGUGGAGUCCUAGACUGAUAUUCUUACAAAUUCUUUUACAUCUGUAGGCUGUUGUCUUUAUUCUCAUUUCUCCUCUUCCACUCCAGUAAAUACGGUAUUUAUUCUUCAAUUCAAUUUGUUUUUCACAUUAGGUUGUUAUCUUCUUUUAUUUUAUUCCUCAUAUGGGUGUAUGAUUUCAAAAAUGACAUCUUAUGAAGUAUCCCCUGGCUCAAGAAGUUCCCCAAUACUAUAAUUCAUUUUCUUCUCUCCUCAUACUGUUAUAGUGUUAUCUCAGUUGAUUCUCCUAAUUAUUUACUAAACCUCUCUUCUACUUUCUAUUAAAAAGAUAUUCUUUUUAAUUUUUAAGGGCCAAGAAUUGUCACUCAUACAUUUACAAGUUUCAAUGCCCUCAUUUAGGAAGAGCUCUCUUAUAAGGUCAAAGGUGACAUCUUCUUUUUCAUUUAUAUGUGCUUAUUGUGGUUAUUGAAGAAUUUAGUGGUUACAUAUUAGUAACUAAUAUCAGUUACCGAAUUCCAGAGGGCAUGAUUAGUUGGUUAGGAUUUAUACAAGACAUUAGUCCUAAAAACUAAAAGUUGACGCUUUAAACAUUUAAUUUGAUAUCAAUGCCAAUAAAAACUUUCCACUAACCCUUUCCACUACAACAAUUACAGGUACUAACUCCAAGUCUAACUAUUUUUCUUCUCUAUUUGUGGUCAUUCAAUAUACAAGCUGAUUUAGUUUUGAAUGCAUAUAUUGACAGGAGUGGGAAAGACCUAAGUCAGGUGGUACAACUCCUAUUGAAGAGGACAACGAGGGGGGAAGAGAAGCAAGAGGAAGAAGAAAAUGAUGAUUUUGAGAAGCAGGAAAACGAUAGUGCCGUAAAUGAAUUUUCUUUGUUUCUUCAACUUUCUUGAUAAGUUGUUUCCAAGUGUUGCUUGCUAUACUUAAUUUAAGGGUAUGCUAUGAACAUCAUGUUAUUGCAUCAGAAAGUUUGAGCUUUCUUAAUUUGU